UUUGGCUCAGGACGAACGCUGGCGGCGUGCCUAAUACAUGCAAGUCGAGCGGACAGAUGGGAGCUUGCUCCCUGAUGUUAGCGGCGGACGGGUGAGUAACACGUGGGUAACCUGCCUGUAAGACUGGGAUAACUCCGGGAAACCGGGGCUAAUACCGGAUGGUUGUCUGAACCGCAUGGUUCAGACAUAAAAGGUGGCUUCGGCUACCACUUACAGAUGGACCCGCGGCGCAUUAGCUAGUUGGUGAGGUAACGGCUCACCAAGGCGACGAUGCGUAGCCGACCUGAGAGGGUGAUCGGCCACACUGGGACUGAGACACGGCCCAGACUCCUACGGGAGGCAGCAGUAGAAA
rnacentral:rRNA from 1 species